rnacentral:rRNA from 1 species
CCCUUAGAUGUUCGGGGCCGCACGCGCGCUACACUGAUGGGGACAGCGUGUUUGCCAUUCCUGGUCCGGCAGGAUUGGGCAAUCCGUUGAACCCCCGUCGUGAUUGGGAUCGGAGCUUGUAACUAUUCUCCGUAAACGAGGAAUUCCCAGUAAGCGCAAGUCAUCAGCUUGCGUUGAUUACGUCCCUGCCCUUUGUACACACCGCCCGUCGCUCCUACCGAUUGAAUGUGUUGGUGAGGAGCUCGGAUUGGCAGCAGUUGGUGGUUCGCCACCGGCUAUUGCUGAGAAGUCCUCCAAACCGCCCCAUUUAGAGGAAGUAAAAGUCGUAACA